UGAAAUGAUUAGGGCAAUGUGGAACACUGUGAAAGCUCAAUCUUCUACCUCCCUCCUACUUGGCACUGGCAGAGGACCCUUCUACAAAAGACCAGAAGGUGAAGGGUGGCCCCAGAUCCCAGUAACAGAGUCCUUUUCUCUUGUCGGACUCUCAUUUCUAUUUCUGUUACCCUUCUUCCACAUCCUCCUCCAGCCUCUGCUUUCACCAACUUUCCCCAAUCUCUGUGUCACUAAUUCAUUAAUAAACUGAUGAUUGCAUUGAAAAAGAAAAGAAAAUCCGUAUUUUGUGAUCAUCUAUCUAGUACAUGCCAGGCAUUGUGCUAAGUGCUUCAUUUAUGUUGACUCAUUAAACUCUUAAAAAAAAAAAGCUUGGCAAUUUGGCAAAACCAGCAUUAUUAGCCCCAUUUUGCGGAUGAAGAAAUUGAUAGUUUAUUUGAACAAGCUCUCUCAGCUAAUAAGUGAUGUAGUGUGAUUUAAGCCAGAUGUGUGUGACUUUGAAGUUUUAGAGAGUCCUGAAAUAUACAUUUCAGAAAUGCACCUUUGUCAAUUCAGCCAGCCAAGAAACUCCUGGAGACAAUUGCCUCCACAAGGAGAAGCAAAGAAAGAUGGACUAGAUGUCAUAGCAGAAGGUCCUUGUGAACAUACCUUUUAUUCACUCAUUCAUUCAAUAAAUAUUUACUGAGCUUCCAUUAUAUAUCAAGCCCUGUUCUGAGUAUUGGAAAAACAGCACUAGGAGAAACAAAAAGCAAACAGACAAAGCAGGGAAAAUUCCUUGCAUUAACUGAACUUACACUCAAGCUAGGGACAGAGAGAUUAACAAUAUAUAAAGGAUAUGGAAUGGUAAAUGUUGUAGAGAAAUGCAACACAAUGAAGGGGGUACAGAGCAUAAGAGGUAGGACAGAGGGUGUAUCUUAGUCCACUUGUGCUGCUAUAACCAAAUACCACAGACUGGGUAAUUCAUAAAUAAAAGAAAUUUAUUUCUCGCAGUUCUGAAGACUGGGAAGUCCAAGAUCGAGUUAUCAGCAAAUUUGAUGUCUGGUAAGGGCUGCUCUCUGUGCUUCAAAGAUGGUGCCUUAUUGCUGCAUCCUCUGGAGGGGAAAAACUGUGUCCUCACAUGGAGGAAGGUAGAAGGACAAAAGGGACUAAGCUAGUUCUCUCCAGCCCUGUUAAAAGGCAUUAAUUCAUUCAUGAGAGUGAAGUUCUCAUGACAUAAUCACUCCCCAAAAGCCCCUAUUUCUUAAUACCACCACAAUGGGGUUUAAGUUUCAACACAUGAAUUUUGGAGGUGACACAUUCAAUUCAUAGCCAGGUGUUACUGUAAAAUAGAAUGGUCAGGGAAGACCUCACCAAUAAAGUGAAGUUUAGUCAGGGAAUUCUUCAAGGUUUAGAGUAAUUAAAAUACAUCCAGAGUGACCCACUGGAGAAGCAGAGGCUGAAAGUGAUGAAAUGAAAGUACAAAUUGCCUCUAUCUUAUCAUUUAAUAAUAGUGGAGUACCUCCUCUGUGAAUCAGUACUCGUGUUAAGUAUUUCCUACAUAUGCUAGAAGAAAGUUGCAAACCCUUGGCCCAGUGAGCAAGGAAGCAAGUUCAGAUAAUGAGACAAGUGGUAUGCAAGCAAUGAAUGUCAAGUCAAAUUUUCUUAGAAGAGUAGAAGGUGUUGACCUCAUGGUCCAAGAUUUAGGUCUUCAUACAAUCAUCCACUUACUAAUUUACCUUCAAACAUGUUUGUUGUGUACCUACCUCAGGUUCUUUAAGUUUUGGAUACUCAAGUCUGUCUCUUAGAAUGUAGGGAACAAGAAAACAAAGAAAAGUGAACCAUUGUCAAGGCAUUUAACUGUAGUACCUGCAGCUAUCUCCUGGAUGAGUUGCCAACACUCUCAGUUGUCUCACUGUUCUGGAGGAGCAAUCCCAGGCAGGAUGCCUCCAGCUGGUAUUCACCACCCACCAUUACACAAUCCUUGGCUCCUCUAGCCUCUUGCCAUAACAUAGCUUCAAGACCAUUCUAUUCAGGGGGUUGACUGCCUUGAGUUUAUGAUCCUAUCUCCAUAAAGAAAUCAGAAAAAUUUGGCCCAUAAUCCUCCUACCAGACCCUGCUGAUGCCUUGCCCACAUCCUCCAAGCACACACCUCUGUUCAUAAAAGGCUGUUUGCAGUGAAGAAUCAUGUAAUUCUCUGCCUUGCGGCAGGGAUAGCCAGAACGCUGAAGUUUUAAUGGCCUUGCAAGCAGUCAUCAAGAAUGGAUGAGGAUGGAUGAGUGGAUACCCCAGCUUCUUUGGCCCUAGGUUGGGAUAACUCCAAGGUGUGUGUUCUGCAUUGUCUCCCAGAGUUCCCCAGCUGAAUCAAUCUCUAAUUGCUCAUGUGAUAACUCACCUGAUACUUAUCAACCACUUUACUGGCUAUCUGCUUUUCUCUGUCUCUUUCCCACCUUUCCUACUUGUUUUUUUUCUGGAAUCUCUUCUCAAAUAAACUACUUGC
rnacentral:lncRNA from 1 species